rnacentral:misc_RNA from 1 species
UCAAACUCCCUAAUUUUUUUAUUUGUGUCGUUGCUCCGUUUUCGCUGUACCUCCUCUUGCCGUCUGUUUCCUCCCUCAACUGCCACAUCCAGUCACGCCGCCUCCGCCUAUCACGCUCAUCGCUCUUGCUCUCGCUGUGUUCUCGGAUUGUUGUGCUGCUCCCUGUCUUGGGCUCUCUUCACUACUCCGACGGCGACUUUGUGUUUUUUUUUUCCCUCCAACUGCCGUCGUCCAUAACGGCGAAGGCGACGGCAAGCGGGUACCAUCCCUCACGCACACUCACACACAAUUCCCUUCCCCAUCACCACCGUCUUGAGUCAUGGCCGCCGCUGAUCAACUCCGGUACGCGGCGCAGAUGAUCGAGCUGGCGCGCAGCGAAGAGAGGGAGGACGGAAACCCGCUCACGGCGGUGCGCUGCUACACAACGGCGAUGGAGGUUAUCGCGUCAGAGGCGUCUAAGCGCGCGGCGACGAUUGAGAGCAAUGAAGCGCGCCGUUUCUUUCUCUUUCAAGUCCGAUCGAAGCUGGAGAUGUACCACGAACGCGCGGAGCUGCUCCUGCAAGUCGCGAACGGAUCGGGGCUGCUCGACAAGCCCAGCUUCGGCAACGGCGACGUCUCGGCUUUUCAAACUAACUACCCACCCGCGCUCUUCGCGUCAGCGGUGGCGAAUGAGAAUAGCAACACCGGCAAUGGCGGAGUCGGGUCGUGCAGCACGGGCGGUGGCUUCAGUGUACUCGGGAUUCCGCUUCAGCCCCAACGGAUGGCUCCCUCUGCUCUUCCCACACAAACUCAAUCCAGCUAUGACGACUCCAAGGAACCGCCGAUGAGCUGCUACCUGAAGCCCGACGACGACGCAACCGCGGAACCGCCGCCGGUGACACCAGAGCUGGAUCUUGACGAACUCAUGAAGAACCUCGGCGCACCACCAGAGUCGUAGAGGCGAGAAGGGUGAUGGGGACGAAGUAGCCGAGAGGCGUGCGCGCAUAAGUGAGUCGGUGUGCGUCGGAGUGCGCACCAAGAUCUAAAUCGAAUCUUUUUCUGUUGUUGAUAUUUCUUUCCCCCUCUCGUCUUAUUACCAUCAUUCUGUUGGGGCUUCUGGGGGUGUGGGCAUGCGAAGCGGUGAGCGGGAGGAGUAGGCAGGGGGGGGCAUGCACCCACAUAUAUUUUGUUGUUCUGCAUCCCUUGUACUUGCCGUCGUCUCGUUUUCUGCGUAAUGGUUUGUUUGUGUGAGCGCCCGUGAUGAGGCCUCUCUUCGUUCUUUGCGUCUCGGCCCCCCACCGAGCGCCCUCCUCACUGCCUUUCACUAUGUGGGCUCUUGUUUUGUGCGUGGGGCUUGUGUAGAGGGUCGCUCAAUCUCCCUCUGCGCAUGCCGCCCUUACGUUCUGACUUUGUGUUAGCUCUCUCCCUCCUCUUCCGCUUUCGCCAGCACUCACCCACCCGCACUCUUUUGACUUCCUCUCCGUGUGUGCAUCUCUGGUGCUUCCUCCAAGACGAGUGCGCGAGUUCCCCCCCCUCCCUCUCCCUUCGCUCCUCCACUCACCGAUGACCCACACGAGAACACGAGCACAGCUUCUCUGCCAGUUGUUCGCCGAAACAUUCUCCUGAUCUCGCUCAUGUCCGCCCUGCUUUUUUCAUGGCUUUCGCCCCUCGUCCUCCUCCUCCGGCACGCACGCACACGCACACACAGACACACGCGCGCGCCUCCUCUUCUAUGUUCGCGCGUUUCCCUUUGUUGUUUGGUUGUGUCUCGCCGUUCUCUUCCGUCGUGUGGAGGCGCUCCUUUCGGAUGCCUCCACCUGUGCAAUACUCUCCGUCCUCUCGGUAGUGUGCACCUUGGCGUGCGCGCUCGUCUCCACGCACCCAGCAUCGCACACACUAAGAUGGACAAGACGAACACCUUUGAGGUUGAGCGCAUCGGCAGGCAAGCCCACUGGGAGGCACAGAGAAGGAACAUGCCAGCAUAUCGUCGAUGCCGCCUUAUCGGACUUACCCAGG